GUGAGAUACUUUUCACAGCAUCCGCCAUUGUGUAUGCUGCCUGCUUCAUCACUGCUCGCUAAAUAGAUAUUUCGUUAGACAAUUCUGACGUUUUUUUUUAUCAAGUUUUGAUAUAUCAGGAUCAUGCAAGGAACAUUGUAUCCCUAGUUUCGGAGAAGCCAGUCUGGAGAGCUUUUGCUGUCAGAUUCUCCUGAGGGUAGGCUUGGGAGUAAGGAUACUCCAGCAUGGUUCCCUCCCCUUAGCCUAGAACAAGUGGAUAAGGAGGCUCGGGAAAGAGUUCGAACUAGACAAGGGGCUGAAAAUAAUGAAAAGGACGUUCUUGGAGAGUACAUCAUGCAGAGUGGAAAAUAUCGGGGGAAGAGGUUUCGCUGGCUGCUGGAAAAUGUCCCAGGGUAUAUUGGCUGGUUUAUAGGUGCCAUCAUCAAAGAUGAAGGGAAAGAGGAUAAAUCGGGAAAGCACCAACAGGCAAUUAAAAAUGCA